CUCCCUCCCUCCCUCCCUCCCUCGUCCUCACCCGCCGCCGCUCCCUAACCCUAGCCCCAAUCCACAGCCCCGCGCCCCUCGCUCCUCCCUCCCUCGUCCUCACCCGCCACCGCUCCCUCCAACCACCUCCUCCUCCUUCCGAUGGGUCGCCGGAUCCGUCGGCCACCCCAUGGACUUCGCCUGGAAAACGCGGGCUGGGAGAGAGAGCGCGGGCGGGUGGUAGAGGAGGGUGGCGGGCGCCGACGUCGCAGUCGAGGGGGAGCAGGGCUAGUCGGCCGGAGCUGGAGGCCGGCGCUAGAGGAAGGAGCGGCGAGGAGAGAGGCGCCGGCCAUCGGGGACCUCCUAGCCCUCUUCUUCUUGUCGCCAUGGCAGGUGGAGCUCGAGCCAUCGGUCAGCCUCCCCCUCCCCAUGCGUAGAACAAUGUGUGCAGAUCUGUAAAAGAAGAGAAGAGGAAGAAUCCCAAGGAAGAGUUUGGUGAAGAAGAAUAAGGUGACUAUGUGAGUUGCAUUGACAGAAUCCAUGUAUUAAGCUGUGGCAUUUUUGGCAGCUGCAGCAACCUGACAAUUCAUUUGUUCUCAUACAAGGUAAUUUACUUCCCCCCUUUAUGUAUCAUGGAUGGAUAUAUGUGCUGGUUGGUUGUCAUUACUGAAGCAAGAAUUGUUGAUGAUGACUACCUUCGAGCAGGUUUUUAUUGGUUUUUCUUUCUCCAUUUUUUGUAUGAUGUAUGGAUGUUGUAGGAUAAAUGUGAAUUAACAAUACAACAGCUUCCAGAAGUAUUUUGCAACUUCAGAAAUCCAGGAUUAUGGUUCUGAUGUUAAUGACCAGGAUGAUGCAAUAGCCUCUUUUGAUUCGUAUCUAUUUUUUCGAUGCUUGAAAGAUAUACUUGCAUCACUUGACUGGAAUAAUCUAACUUGCGUUUCUCUUUUUUUUUUCAUUUCCAGAGAAUAAUCUAACUUGUGUUUCUCUUUUUUUUUUCAUUUCCAGAGUACUUUGCUGCUAGCAUAAUUGUGGUCCAUUUUCUACUCUACUUUUCCUUGAUCUAUAUACAUGAUUGUCAAUUUCCAACUUCUUAGUUACAGAAAAAACAAACAAAAUUCAGUUUAGAUUUGUCUGCUGUAGGCAUUAAAAGAUUCAUCAGAGCCAUCAUUCUGAACAUUGUUUAAAAUGACACCCUAUUGCCGUUGGUGCCAAGAACUUGUGAUUUAUGGCUUAUGUCAAUUCCAUCUUUAUAUAUGCUUGUGAAGUACAUGGGGAAGGCGCGCAUGGUUGAUGAUUAUGUUCUGGAUUGGAAGCCGAAGCAAACUCCGUCAGGUUUCAGAUAAUUACUUCAGGUUAGGCGGGAGAAAUAAAAAGGGUAACCAUAGAUAUAUGGUGUAGCAUCAUGAGGUUCAGGUUCCUGCUGUUGAUCAAACGUUGCUUCGGUCGAGUGCGAACCCGGAUCAGUUGCUGCUCCAAACCAGACAAUUUGGAGGAUGAACGCGAGUCUCCCAGCGAUGCCAUGGAAGAAGAAAGUAUUCGCUCCAGACGUAGAUGUCUAGCUUGCCUGUGUGUUGUAACAUUAAUCAGUGCAUCGGGCCCAAAGUUUUCUAUCAUUGGAACCUUGAUGAUUUAUCUCAUUUGAACAUAAUCUAACCCCUCUGAUUUUUUUCAGUACAUAAUUGUACACCUUCUAUGCCCCGCUUAAUUGUGUGUUCAUUUUGUUAAUCAAGAAGCAUCUGAUUUUAUGGCUGGCGUGGUGCUCCAGCGCGACCGCUUCGUGUGCUGCCUCGAGUCGCAUGGCCACCAUGCCCGCGCCGAGGCGAAGGCCGCUGCCACUCUCAACGCCCUCUGCUGCGCACUCUCGCCGGUGGCGUUUGCAAAGCCUUGUUGUGGCGCUGCAAGUGUUGCCCCCCUCCUCCCCAAGGGCAAGGUGAAGGAAGGUGCAUGUGUGGUUCUUCAGCAGCUCGCAGCGAGGAUUGCUGUGUCCAACCUGCAGAAGUAUGCCAAGAAGUUCUCGGAGAUGAUUAAGGACAUGUCCCCGCACUACAACAAGAGAUCUGAGCUGUUUGGAAGUUAGUUUAGUUUUUUGUUGUGGAUUCACAGCUUCUCACAUGUAUGAUCCUCUUAGACCUUUAGAUUUCCAAAGAAACUAAAUGAAGAUAUGGUGGUAUGGUCUCAAUAGUACAACUUAAAGCCUUUCAUGUUUUA